AGACAGACCAAGGUUCUCAGUUGGUGCCUUAUACCAGCAUGAGGCCUGCGGACCUCGGGGUGCUUCUGACCCAAGGCCUCUACAUUGCAGAUGAGGAAGCUGGGAGCCAGAGAAAUGACGCAAUUUGAUCAUCAGAGUUCAGCUUCUACUAGAAAGAGUUGAAGGACAUUUCAGUGGUUUCCAGUUUCUGACAAUUAAGAAUAAAGCAGCUGUGAACAAGCUUUUAUGUGGAGAUUUCUGUUUCCCUGUGGACAUCAUUAAUAGACCCCUACAUGUGCAGCUGGUAUGAAGAACAGGCCACCCGGAACUGG